rnacentral:sRNA from 3 species
AUGUACCGCUCGUACACUGCGGUACCUCCGCGCCAUCCAGGCCCACCUGGCGAUUGCUCACUACGUGUUGUUGGCC